GGACGAACGCUGGCGGCGUGCCUAAUACAUGCAAGUCGAACGAACUCUGGUAUUGAUUGGUGCUUGCAUCAUGAUUUACAUUUGAGUGAGUGGCGAACUGGUGAGUAACACGUGGGAAACCUGCCCAGAAGCGGGGGAUAACACCUGGAAACAGAUGCUAAUACCGCAUAACAACUUGGACCGCAUGGUCCGAGUUUGAAAGAUGGCUUCGGCUAUCACUUUUGGAUGGUCCCGCGGCGUAUUAGCUAGAUGGUGGGGUAACGGCUCACCAUGGCAAUGAUACGUAGCCGACCUGAGAGGGUAAUCGGCCACAUUGGGACUGAGACACGGCCCAAACUCCUACGGGAGGCAGCAGUAGGGAAUCUUCCACAAUGGACGAAAGUCUGAUGGAGCAACGCCGCGUGAGUGAAGAAGGGUUUCGGCUCGUAAAACUCUGUUGUUAAAGAAGAACAUAUCUGAGAGUAACUGUUCAGGUAUUGACGGUAUUUAACCAGAAAGCCACGGCUAACUACGUGCCAGCAGCCGCGGUAAUACGUAGGUGGCAAGCGUUGUCCGGAUUUAUUGGGCGUAAAGCGAGCGCAGGCGGUUUUUUAAGUCUGAUGUGAAAGCCUUCGGCUCAACCGAAGAAGUGCAUCGGAAACUGGGAAACUUGAGUGCAGAAGAGGACAGUGGAACUCCAUGUGUAGCGGUGAAAUGCGUAGAUAUAUGGAAGAACACCAGUGGCGAAGGCGGCUGUCUGGUCUGUAACUGACGCUGAGGCUCGAAAGUAUGGGUAGCAAACAGGAUUAGAUACCCUGGUAGUCCAUACCGUAAACGAUGAAUGCUAAGUGUUGGAGGGUUUCCGCCCUUCAGUGCUGCAGCUAACGCAUUAAGCAUUCCGCCUGGGGAGUACGGCCGCAAGGCUGAAACUCAAAGGAAUUGACGGGGGCCCGCACAAGCGGUGGAGCAUGUGGUUUAAUUCGAAGCUACGCGAAGAACCUUACCAGGUCUUGACAUACUAUGCAAAUCUAAGAGAUUAGACGUUCCCUUCGGGGACAUGGAUACAGGUGGUGCAUGGUUGUCGUCAGCUCGUGUCGUGAGAUGUUGGGUUAAGUCCCGCAACGAGCGCAACCCUUAUUAUCAGUUGCCAGCAUUAAGUUGGGCACUCUGGUGAGACUGCCGGUGACAAACCGGAGGAAGGUGGGGAUGACGUCAAAUCAUCAUGCCCCUUAUGACCUGGGCUACACACGUGCUACAAUGGAUGGUACAACGAGUUGCGAACUCGCGAGAGUAAGCUAAUCUCUUAAAGCCAUUCUCAGUUCGGAUUGUAGGCUGCAACUCGCCUACAUGAAGUCGGAAUCGCUAGUAAUCGCGGAUCAGCAUGCCGCGGUGAAUACGUUCCCGGGCCUUGUACACACCGCCCGUCACACCAUGAGAGUUUGUAACACCCAAAGUCGGUGGGGUAACCUUUUAGGAACCAGCCGCCUAAGGUGGGACAGAUGAUUAGGGUGAAGUCUACAAGGGGG
rnacentral:rRNA from 2 species